CAUUGCUUUCAUCAAGUUCAACAAGAUCAUCAUCCCAGAUCAAGAAAUCAUAGUAUCUGUCCGAUCGAUGUGGUAUACUAUUGGAUCUCCUCAAAGGUACCUCUAUAGCAGGCUUUGGGUUUAAUUUAAUCAAAUUUAGUUCUGUAUUUUUAUUUGUUUGUGUCGAUUCUUCUACCUAUCAAACUUCAUCAAGUUCAAUCUUAGUAGCAUUAGUUCUUUUCUCAAAGAAUUUCUUUUCUAAAAAGAUAGCCAUAUAGUUGAUGAA
rnacentral:lncRNA from 1 species